AGGUAAAGGCUCACCAAGCCGACGAUCUGUUAGCUGGUCUGAGAGGACGACCCAGCCACACUGGGACUGAGACACGGCCCAGACUCCUACGGGAGGCAGCAGUGGGGAAUUUUGGACAAUGGGCGCAAGCCUGAUCCAGCAAUGCCGCGUGCAGGAUGAAGGCCUUCGGGUUGUAAACUGCUUUUGUACGGAACGAAACGGUGAGCUCUAAUACAGUUUGCUAAUGACGGUACCGUAAGAAUAAGCACCGGCUAACUACGUG
rnacentral:rRNA from 1 species